AUUGACCCUAGGCCAAGACAGAGGGUACUGUGAACCUCACCAUGAUUCUACAGGCUCAGCUGGACCACUGUAUGGCUGACCUGUCCCUCCCUGUGCUGAUCCUGGCUGGACUGGGCCUGUCCUCUCCUCCUGGGAUAGGAGGCGCCGUGUUGUUCCCUGGCUGCUGAUGGCCAUGCUGCUACUCUACUCCCUGUUCUUCGCCUGGAGAGCCAACCUGGACACCAGCAGACCCCU